GACGUAGGGGGCCAGCGUUGUUCGGAAUUACUGGGUGUAAAGGGUUCGUAGGCGGUGCGGCAAGUCGGGAGUGAAAUCUCUGGGCUUAACCCAGAGGCUGCUUCCGAAACUGCUGUGCUUGAGUGUGGGAGAGGCGCGUGGAAUUCCCGGUGUAGCGGUGAAAUGCGUAGAUAUCAGGAGGAACACCGGUGGCGAAGGCGGGUCUCUGGGCCGAUACUGACGCUGAGGAGCGAAAGCGUGGGGAGCGAACAGG
rnacentral:rRNA from 1 species